rnacentral:lncRNA from 1 species
UGACACAUGAAUAUGGAGCACAGCCUUCCUGGUGGGGAGGUGUGCUGCUCUGUGUAUGUACCCUGUAUGCUGUUAUAAGACGUGUGUAAACAGACACUCACGUGACUCAGCCAACAACUUCUUUUCCUUAAAGAGGAUGGGUUGAGAAAGUUCAUCCUGUGGCUCUGACUAGAGAAGAUAGAGUCCUUAUUAACCUUUAGAUUAGAAAAAUUAAAUAUAUUUGUUUCCUAGAAUCUAGGUGAUUGCCCAAUAAAUAGGAGGAGAACAAGUUAAAGUUAAAAAAAGAAAAGCAGAUAAAUAGCAGAGCAAGAGGCAGGAUGCAUCAUGCCUCGGUCACUACAUGUUUGCAGGGUUUUGUUAAAGACAAUGGUAUGACGUUGAAACUUGGAUUGCCUUGAGUACACCCUCACAGCGCUGCUCGUGGGGCAAGCAUGCCUGGGAGAUGACCUGGGGCACCACGCCCUGCCUAUCUCAGACAAGGAACUCCAGGCAGCAGUGGCGAAGCUAAGCAGCUCCAUCCUUAAGGGGCGGAGGCCGGCUCAUAUUUGCCUAUUAGGGCCGUGGGACGCCGAGGUUCUGCUGGGUCCCUCCUGGAAAUAGAUCCUUCCCAGCCAGCACCCGAAGUCAGCAGCAGAGGGCAAAGCACCUGGGCUUUAUUUAGCUCCAAGCUCCACGAUCCUCCUGCAUAUUGUUCCUGGAAGAGGCAAAAGCCUAGGGCUUCAAGAUGCCGGGGCUUUAAGAAACCAAGGCAUGACCUCAAGUGAUUUGCCGGAGGUGGCCUCGGUGGCAGCAGUCAUUGAAGAAAGGAAGACAGCUGCCCAGCCAGUCUGACAGACCAUACACAGACAGCCCUGUUCACAGGGAGGCGUGGGCAAAGAUUUCAUGACGAAACAUCAAAAGCAAUUG